rnacentral:misc_RNA from 1 species
GGUGGGUCAGCUGCACAUAAUAAGGUGAUUAUGACACACCCAACUCAACCUAAGUAAACCUUAAUCCCAAUUUGGUGAUCUAUAUGAAUUAUUUGCCUCUAUUUGACCCGCUUUAGGGUUAUUCUAACAUAAGCCAGAAUAUUAACAAUUUUAAUAUCUUGUUAGUCUUCUUCUGUAAAUUGAUUGCUUUCAUCCUUUACCUUGUAUCUUUUGAUGUAGGCUUUUUUGUAAAACAGAGUUUGACAGUCUAAUCUGGUGGUCAGAGUAUGGGGAGUUGAUAAAAUUUUUGUAACUCAGAGAGAGAGAGAGAAUUUUAACGAACUAAUGCUUCUAUUCUGCCUAAAAAAUUAUCUAUGCUUGGGGAUUGAUAGUAAACUUAGAACUGUUGGUUUAAUUUUGGUUGCUAAUUUUGCAUCCAUUUUUAAAUCUCCUUUACUUGAUACUUCUAAGCAUCAUCCUAGCCACCAGCCCAUCACCUUAGUUCUUAAUGAGUCUUCAUUCUGAAAUUUUUGAACUCUUGAUGCCAUAUAGAUAUUCUCUCAGAGAAGGGGU